UUCUCGUUAGAUCACCGAAGUCAAGAAUCAUUGGGCGUGGUCAGUACUUGGGAGGGUGACCACCUGGGAACACCGCGUGCCGUU